rnacentral:rRNA from 1 species
CUCGUAGGCGGUUCGUCGCGUCCGGUGUGAAAGUCCAUCGCUUAACGGUGGAUCUGCGCCGGGUACGGGCGGACUGGAGUGCGGUAGGGGAGACUGGAAUUCCCGGUGUAACGGUGGAAUGUGUAGAUAUCGGGAAGAACACCAAUGGCGAAGGCAGGUCUCUGGGCCGUUACUGACGCUGAGGAGCGAAAGCGUGGGGAGCGAACA